UAUUAGGUUGCUGCAAAAAUAAUCACAGUUUUUGCCAUUUAAAAGGAAUGGCAAAAACUGCAAUCACUUUUGCACCAACCUAAUA
ensembl:miRNA